GAUGAACGCUGGCGGCGUGCCUAAUACAUGCAAGUCGAGCGACCAGACGAUGAGCUUUCUCCUCUGACGUUAGCGGCUGACGGGUGAGUAACACGUGGAUAACCUACCUAUAAUACUUGGAUAACUUCGGGAAACCGGAUCUAAUACCGGAUAAUAUAUUGAACCGCAUGGUUCAAUAGUUAAAGACGGUUUUGCUGUCACUUAUAGAUGGAUCCGCGUCGCAUUAGCUAGUUGGUAAGGUAACGGCUUACCAAGGCGACGAUGCGUAGCCGACCUGAGAGGGUGAUCGGCCACACUGGAACUGAGACACGGUCCAGACUCCUACGGGAGGCAGCAGUAGGGAAUAUUCCGCAAUGGGCGAAAGCCUGACGGAGCAACGCCGCGUGAGUGAUGAAGGUCUUCGGAUCGUAAAACUCUGUUAUUAGGGAAGAAAAAAUGUGUAAGUAAAUAUGCACGUCUUGACGGUACCUAAUCAGAAAGCCACGGCUAACUACGUG
rnacentral:rRNA from 1 species